UGCACCUUGCAGUAAGGCGGUAUUUGAGUUAUAUUUUAGAAGUGCCUAGACAAAAUCUGCUCCUUGUCGUGUGCAGUAACCAUCGCAAACCCUCCGGACUUGUGUAACGCCGUUAGUUCGCCGUGUGUUUCGUGCGAUCUACCAGUGUCGACAGUGAGUGUCUUACUACAGCGCCCGUCCGAGCUGCCUUUGUUCUGCCGAGCUGCCUGCCCGCGCUCUCGUGAAAAGUCUGGUACUGGAGCUUCGAAUCGUAGUGUAUGGAAGACUGUUGAAGGUUGUGCUUUUGUGGAGCUGGAGUUCAUCGGAAGUUCUACAGUGCUUGCGCCAGAAAAACGUCGGUGCCUCGGUACCUUUGAGACGAAGGAGCGUUGGCCAAGUCUUUUUGAAAGGCUAUGCGGAUUCUGGAGGCAUCCCUACAUCAAGCAGGAACCUGCUGCACUGCUGGAAGCUGGACAGCACGACAAUAAAGCACGUGAUCUGUGUGCUUUCUCAAAGGUAGACAUCGGCGACGGUGUAUAUGUUGAAAAGUUCCUGCUGAAGAGGCUGCGCCUGGAUGCUAACAACUCAGGCUUUCAGUUCGCGGGGGGCCUCCUUAAGGCUCCUUUUACAAAAGAAGAGGUUGAAGGGAGGCGCUACACAUGGAUGCGCAGCGAUUGUUUGUGACAUCGUCACUGCUGGCAGGCCUGGCCUGCCUUUUCGCUUCGUUCUGGGUCUUCCACGUUAUCUACUCGAAAAGGCCCACAGGGUUUUGACAUUUAUUGAGCACUGCUUUCUGGAUUUGAGCUACACAAAGCUGCAGGUGAAAGCAUUGGAUUUAGUCAAUAUUUACAAGAACUAUUGCUAGGCAAAAAAAUUUUCAGAUGCAUAUCCUCAAGAAAGUUUCUGUAAAAAUUAUUUUGCCUAACAAAAGCACUCGUGGGUUCUGUGGCUGGCAGCUUGCCCAAGCCAUGUAGCACAGUGCUUGCUUUAAAGGGACACGAAAGGGAAAAUUUAUUUGAGCGUUAUUAAAUCAUUUUUCUACAACACCGAAAAAACAACUCCCUCCAUGAGAAUUGGCUUGAUAAGCCAGAUAACUUGCAAAAACGAAAACUGGUGUCGCCACCACCACCUUAUAAUUCCUGCACCAGCUCGCUGUGAUAUGGAAUUUGACGGUGUCUGUUCAGGUCUAGCUAAUGUUCUACUGGCCAAUAUUGAUGAAUUCUGUUGUAAAGGUGUCAAAGAAUAUACUUAGUUGAAGUAUGACUCCACACUGAUGUGCGGGCACUGCAUAAAACUUCAAAGUUAAAUCUUCAUUUUCUCAUCUAUUAAUCCGCUUAUUGCCACAAUGUUCAUGAAUACAGUUCUGAAAGAUUGUUUUAUCAGUCUAAAAUGAUUUAUUGUUUCUCUUUAGUAUCUCUGUAAUGGACCUUUAGCAACAAAAUGUGUGUUAGUUUGCGACAGGUAUUCUCAGCGGGGGCAAGAGCACCAGCAGCAUGCUCAGUGAUUCUGUACCAACUGAUAAUUUGAAGGAUGUCCUGUGCCACUAGGGUUAGGCCAACAUGGCUCUGUGUUAAUCACCACAAGUGUAUUAUGCAAAACUUAAUGGCCCAGAAAUUGGUAAUUCAGGGGGAGUUGAAUUAGCUGUUUAUUUUUUUUUUCUUUAUCAUGGACUUCUCACAUUACACUUUGUCACAACGCAUUCACUUUAAAAUAACUGGAGAAUAAGGUGGUUUGGUAUUCAGACAUGCUUUCUGUGUGUAAACAGUGUUAGAUGAGCAAUACAAAGAUACACCAUAGAUGCUGACUGGCAACAUGAAGGGGUUUGAGGGCAGCUACGAAUAUACAUCCUUGUAGUCGUACCUAUAGCACUAUAUUCAAUUUGUCACACAAGCAUAUGGCAUCCAUCACAACUGCAUGCCUAGAAAAAGACAAGGGCAACACACUCAAUUACCUUUUAUUCUAUCUAAGAAGCACUACAAUAUUUAGGCAACGAAAUUGACAUCUGGCUUGUACCCAUAAGUACUGCAAUACAGUUGUAUAACAUGUUCCU